UCGGGGGAAGCCAAAAGCUGUGGCUGUGGCCCGCUUGCGAUACACGAAUGCGAAUCAUCAGCGACAUGGUCGUGGCCCAUGGCCCAUGGCCCAUGGUCGCUUCUUCGCUCAUUCGCCAGUUCGCCAGUUCGUCCGUUCGCCAGGUCUUCCUUCCUCUUCCUCUGGCCGGUCUUCCAGCAGCAGCAGCAGCAGCGCAGGCCCAGGAAAAGGCUCCUGCUCCGGCUCCUGCAAUGUUGCACGACGCCAAUAGCCGCGGGGAAGAUAAGCGAGUGAGCCGCGCUCGUCGCAGUCCUGGGUUCCUCCAGCCUCCUGUCCUCUACUGCUGCCCAGCUUUUGCCCCUGCCUGCACUGGGAAAAACUACUACCUUUAAAAGGUUGGACUUUGCACCGCCUAUUUCUUUCAGUGUGCCCCAGCUCCGACCGAGGUUCUCUGUGCGGCGGUGUGUGCGUUUUCAGAUGCAGUUGCAGCAGGCGGAUGGCGAAUGGCGGAUGGCGGAUGGCGGAUGUUUGCAGCAUAUUUCCUACGGCUGUGCUCAUGUGCACCUUUAAUCCGCUCUGUUUUUCGCAAUUCGGCGUACGAGCAGAUAGGCGAUAGAGUGCGGAGCACCAGGGCGGACCAUUUAAAUUCGAGGUCAAAGGAAACGCAUUUGCAGCUGUGUUUACCCACCGUAGAUUGCGAUUGCGUACAUAAAUUGCGAGCAUAUCGCUCGCCUGCACACACACGCACACACACUCUCGAGUGAAAGGAUUAUCCUAAGAUAGCCAAAAGUUUCAGAUUCCGAUUCUUUAUUGAUAAAAAUAAUCUAUGCCAUUCCGUAGUACUUGUAAAUUAAACGCAUUGCAUUUAAAUCCGUCACAUUUCUGAUUUUACUAUUCCGACUAACUAGAAGUUAAUGACUGAAUAUAGAACAAUAAGUUCUUAACUGAAUCAACUUAUUCAUCGACAUAUUUUUCGAACCUAUGUGUAUGCAUCCAAGAGAUACUCAAAUGAGAGAUGAGUUUAAUGACCCUUGGGCGCUGCGUAAAAUAUAAUUAUAAUACUAUUUCCCCUAUGCCAUCGGGUUAUACACAGUGAUAAUGCAACCUCGGAUGCGGUUAGGAUGUGCGGACAGGAGUCCGGCUGAUGCUCCUCCGCCUCCUACUCCUGGUUCUCCUCGUCGGAAUAAGUGAUUCCCUGGCUCCGUAACUUCGUUCACGCGUCACGCACAAGAGGUCGUGAAAUGGUCAGCGCCAGUUAAUUAGGCAAUAAAACAUGAAUGCCGAAUUGCGUGCGGCGCCUUUUUUUAGCUUAUAAAUACGGAUUUCUAUGUGAGAAAAUUAUCAGUGCGUUGGAGUCGAACGAAAUUGCCACUAUUAAAUCAAGCGAAUCGCCACAACCGAGUGGCAUCGCAUCAGCAUCAGUGGCGCAGACUUUGAGAUACUCAGAUACUCAGACACACAUUCGCAUCCAAUUUGCGAUAAAUAACUGCGGAGACGGAUUCUCGGUUCUGGAUUCUGGAUUCUGGAUCCUGGAUUGUGGGUUCUGGUUUCCAGACUACGACUUCGAAAAUUAAAAGCAAACAUCCAAAUAAGAGAUACCUUUUUUUUUAAGUACUACCAUCUAACAUUAAGAAAAGGAAAGUUCUGGUGAGAUAAACCGAAUUUUAAAGAUGUGAAC